AGAGUUUGAUCCUGGCUCAGAACGAACGCUGGCGGCAUGCCUAACACAUGCAAGUCGAACGAGACCUUCGGGUCUAGUGGCGCACGGGUGCGUAACGCGUGGGAACCUGCCCUUAGGUUCGGAAUAACUCCCCGAAACGGGGUAGGCUAAUACCGGAUAAUGUCUUCGGACCAAACGAAUUUAUCGCCUUUGGUAUGGGCCCGGCGUUGGAUUAGCUAGUUGGUAGGGUAAAGACCUACCAAGGCGACGAUCCAUAGCUGGUCUGAGAGGAUGAUCAGCCACACUGGGACGUGAGACACGG
rnacentral:rRNA from 1 species